UGCUCUUCCAUCUUAUCCCUAAUUGAAACUUUCCCUAUUAUAUCUCAUCACCUCCAAAACCUGUUUUACUUCUGUAUAACUACUUAUUUACGGUAAAACACUUCCAACUAUGUAAUCUUUUUCAACAUUCUUCAAACACUUGCAUCUUCUAAAAAGAAAUUCAAUUCAGGCUUCAUCAGCAAAAUCACAAUUCAAAAUAUGCGAUGAAACUUACAAGUAUUUGUAAUUCGUAGAUGGAAAGUAAAGGAUCGUCACAAUCCUGAUAUUAUUUAGGCCAUGUUAUUCAUUAUACAGAAUAAAAAGACAACAGGUGAUCAAAUACUGGAUGCAAUUUGUUAAUCUUAGACAACAAGCGGUCAGUCAAAUACCGGAUGCAAUUAGUGUCGGAAAAAGGCAAAACACAUGGAAAACACUUAUGUUUGCACUAACCAGAAGUGAAAAGAUGUGGAUUCCUCUGCAGUUACCAGAUAAUAAAACACAUUAAUGGAGGAGAUCUUCACAAAUACAUUGAAUAUGUGAUACUAUAAAGAGAAGUAAGGAAGAAACUACUUAUUUCCUCUCUCAAAUAUAUUUAGUUUGUACUCUGUUAUGUGUUAUUACUUUGUUGACUAUCGAGUUUACAUGGUUUUAUGCUGCUCUUUUUGCAUCAAAUUUUAGUAUUUGAUGUAAAUUUAUCAAGUUAUUCUCUUAAAUUUUGAGGGUUCUUGAGUAGCAUGUCACUAAUUGAGGGAGAAAUCUACAAUUUGAUUUUAUUUUUUUUUUAAGGAAAACUUUCAUUAAAAAUCAAGUAUUUUAAUACAGCUGGAAGUAGGUUCUUUCUAUCUUAUUUUGUCUGUUGAAGUUAAUAUAUAGCAAUAGACAUGAAAACACUAUUAUAUUUUACAUGUGGAGGAAGAAGCAGAUAAGUGUUGCUUAAUGAUGCAUAUAAUAUACCCUUGUGGUGGGACCCUGAGCAUAACGGAAACUUUAGCUCACCGGACUGCCCUUUUUAUCUAUUACCCUUGAAGAGACAUAGAAAAUGCAUCACUCUUUGUUGUAGAGUUGUUGCUAAUUUUUGAAAUUUUUAAUAUUUAUUGUCGGACUAUUCAUAUUAACUACCAUAGUUGUUGUAUUCAUCUUGAUGUAUAUAGAAUUUUGUACUUUAAUCUUGGAAAUCAGCUCUCACAUUAUACCAACUAAUUGGUUUGGGUUUUCUAUUCAAAUAGGUUUGUCCUUCAUGAUCCGACCUUUUGCCAUUUUUUAUUAUCAAAAAUAUUUAAUUCAUUACCUUGGAAUAUUUUGAUUUCUUAUCAUCUAUGUUUAUUUUUAUGAUAAUGUUAUUGCGCAUGUGGUUCAUAUAAGUUAUAGUAUUGUAGAUCGUUUCCUUCUAUAAAUUAUUUACUUAAUAUAUUGUUUAUUUUGAAAAUUUUAAUUAUUGCAAAUACUUGAAAACCCAGUUGUAAGAUUGCAUACAUGUGUUUUCUAACAAACUACUAAAGAUCUAAGGAAAAAUGAAAAUUUAGAAAACUUUCUACUUCAUAUGAAUCAGUGGAAAAGAAUGACGGAAAAUCGUAUUCAAGUUUUCUGUGCUUGAUGAUGAAAAUAGCUCAUGGAAGUAAUUUAUAAUAUGGUCAAGAUCAUUUAAUUUUCCAUAUCGUCUUGUGUCUUUAUCUAUUUAGUUCUCUUCUACAACUCUUCGUACCCCUGAGAAUUGAAAUCACAGUUCUAUUUUUUAAUAGAUGUACUAUUAAUUGUUUUUAGUUACUUAUAUUGCAUUAAAGGCACCUUCAUAAAUUUACGAUCAUAAUUAUUCAGAUUAGUUAUUUCAUACGAACUCUUAUCAAAGGGAGAGCAUUUUUUUGAAAAGAAAGAAUAGAUGCAUGUUUAAGAGAAUGUUUUAUCUUUCAAGAUACAUGACCUUAGCUUCUUCCUUUACUGUGGUAUGGUAAUUUUGAAUUAACCAUCAAGUGAAGAGCAUCAUAGAUGACUGUUUGAUAUAAAGAAUUAUGUAGCUACUAUUUAAAGGGGACCUUGGAGUAUAUGGUAAAUUUGUUGCCAUGUGAUCAGGAGGUAAUGAGUUCAAGCUUUGAAAGCAUCGUCUAGCAGAAAUGCAAUGUAAGGUUGCGUACAAGUACACCCUUGUGAUGGGCCAUUCCCUGUACCCCUGCUCAUCGCGGGAGCUUUAGUACACUAGGCUGCCCUUUUUAAUUACAUAAUUACUAUCAGGAAUCUGCGCGCUACUGGAAAAUUGUUUGUUAUGCUACUCUCUUUCACUCUUACAUGUAUACCAAUUUUGCAUAGUUGUUGAUUAAUAGACUUGCUUAUGCUAUCGUUAUCAUUCAAUUUACAUCUUACUAUGUGGUUGUAGAUCAGUCAACCAUGUAACAAAAAUCAUCUUAAGGAUGAUUUUGGUGCAAAAUAUGGGGAUAAAAAGUUGUAACAAUUCCCCCAAGUAACCCGAACAAGGAAUUAAGGUAAUUAAAUAUUAAAAAAUUAUUAUAAUAGUAUGUAAAGGCAGAAGGCAGAAUUUUCUAUUAUUCAUCUAAUGGAAGUACUCUCUUACGUGUAUUCCUAAGCUUAAGAAGCAUAUGCAGUAUUGUGUUGAACAUCCUAAAGAAGUAAUUGUUGCUUUCUAUGUAUCCCCUAGAGUGGAAAAGACCCCAAUCAGCGACACAAAAAUUAUUGAAUCAGAUAUUGCUAGCACCAUCUCUGCACUUUGCCACUAUACUUCACCAACACCUUCAAGAUUGUGCCUUUUUACCACCUUCCUCUAUAUUCUUGUGGGUGUUCAAUCAAAUUAUAUGCCCGUAUUAAAAGAAUUACAUCUUCUAUAUGUCUUAAUAGUUUUGAGGAAUUCUAAAAUGGAUGGAAAAAGUUGAGUUUUUGGGUUGGAACUCAAAAAAUAGUGAAGCUGCAUCAACAAGAUUGCAAUAGCUUAGAAGUACAUGAAGUACAAGAACUCCAAGCAACCGAUUGGGGUUAGAGUUAAAUAUCUUCUUGGUCGAAUGAUCCUUGGAGUAACAAUAGGCCAAAUAAUUUUGAUUGAUAGGACUGAAUGUACAAUUAAAAUCAUGAGGCACUACUAUUAUGU